rnacentral:lncRNA from 1 species
GUCUUCUAAUUCAUAGAUCUCGAAUCAGGGUAUUUUAGAUAGGGAAGAAGGUAGAUAGAACCAGACCUUAUAGAUCUGUCCUGCUGUAGUCUUUCCUUUAGAUCUGUUGAUGGAGAUCUCACCUGCACCUCAAACGACCUCAGAUCAACUCCAGAUUUGAGAGGAAAUUAUACCAACAUCUUUGCAAGAAAUUCCAGGUCCUGGACCUGAUCUUUGGAUGGCUGCAAGAGAGGG